UAAGCUUAUUGUUUUGUAGAUAAUAAAGUUAUUUUAAUUUUUAAAAACAUUAAAAAAAUUAGUAAAGGUGAUUAAAAAUUUUAUGUUAUUUAAAAAAGUACUGUGAAGGAAAAAAUAUUACUAAAUAAAAAAAAGAAUUAACUUCUGUACCUUUUGUAUCAUGGUUUAACUAGAUUUUAUUCUUAUAUAAGACUUCUAGAAACCUAGUGAGCUAUUUUUGGUAGACUUUUUAGGGUUUAAAGAGUAGUUGUAGCAAAAACUUUUUUAUAGCCAAAAAUAGAAAUGAAAUUUUAUUCGUACUAGGUGAUAGCUAGUUUAUCACGAAAAACAUAGAAGUGUUUUAAACUAAGCUCAAAGAUUUAAUUUUAAUUAAAUUAAAUGGGCAUAGUUUAGUCAAAUUUUUGAGGAUAAGCUCGAAAAUAUUUAUUGUUAGAAACAUUUUAUUUAUAUUUACUAAAUUUAGGCUUGAAAAUAGCCAUUAUUAGUGAUUUUGUUAUAAUUUCAUUAGUUAUGCAUUUAAACAUAAUUAAUCUGUUUAGUCAAAGUGAUAUAAGCCUAGAAAUGUUUUUAGGCUACAUUUAUGUUAAAAUGAGUAUUUACGCUAUUUUUCAUUCCAGAAUCUAUANUUACUGAAAUUUAAAUAACUAUAGUAUUAAAAAGCCAAAAGAAGGAAACUCGGCAAAAACAUAUUCUGCCUGUUUAGCAAAGACAUGGCUCUCUGUAAAAAAUAAAUAGAGAGUCGGACCUGCCCGGUGAUAAUUUUUAACGGCCGCGGUACCCUGACCGUGCAAAGGUAGCAUAAUCAUUUGCCUUGUAAUUUAAGGCUAGUAUGAAGGGUUUGACAAGAAUAUAACUGUCUCCUUUUGGUUUAAUAGAAUUUUACUUGUAAGUGAAGAGGCUUACGUUUAAUUAAUAGACAAGAAGACCCUAUCGAGCUUUAAAACAGUUGGCAGGAGAAUAUAUAUAAUGUUAGAAUUAUAUUGCUAAAAAUUUUGGUUGGGGCGACUAAGGAACAAAUAAAGCUUCCUUAAUAAAUUUAACACACAUGUGAAGAUCCAGAAAAUUCUGAUUAAAGGAAAUAGUUACCGUAGGGAUAACAGCAUUAUCUUUUUUGAGAGCUCUUAUCGAAAAAAAGGUUUGUGACCUCGAUGUUGGACCAGAAUAUCCUAAAGGUGCAGUAGCCUUUAAAGGUUGGUCUGUUCGACCAUUAAAAUUCUACGUGAUCUGAGUUCAGACCGGCGUGAGCCAGGUCAGUUUCUAUCUUUA
rnacentral:rRNA from 1 species